UAAAAAGCCGCCAUCUUAAUCAGCAGCACCGUGACUUCCAAGUCCGUCUGAGUCACAGGACGCCGGCAGCCAUCUUGAGCAUAUGAACUGCAGCUACAGUGCUGGAGUAUCCAUAGGCAUCAAGGAUUUGCUGGCCUCAUCUCAUCCAUCCAUUUGACUGCAGUGAUAUUGAAUGCAGUGGGCUUCAGAGAUCCUUCAAAAGCAGACGAGCAUUAGAAGAGGAGGAAAGCAUUGAAAGGAAAUGUCCAAAUCCCAUCAAGUUCGAGAUCUAGCACUUAAGUGCAAUAAAGCUAUCUAAGGUAACCAAUUUUUCUGAUUUAAAUCCUGAACCAGAAAGAUGCACUUUCAAAUACAAUACAGUUGCUACUUGGAUGCUAUUACCUGCCUUCUACUGACCCUUCUAGUACCAUGGAAUUGAACUUUUUCACCUAGAGGUUUUUUCCCCCAAAGCACAAUAUAACUACUGUAUUAGAAAUGAAAACGAUGGACUGUCUUCUUUUAAACACAGUAACUUUCUACAGUAAAGAACAGUUUUAAAGAAACAAAGGCCUACCUGUUGUGCUGAGAAAAGUUUUGUGCGCAUUUAUAAUAACUUAAAUGCAUCCCUGAGCAAAUUUCUUCCUUUGAAGAGGUUUGCAGUGGGUUUCAUGGAAGGAAGAAUGCAAGACCAGACAACCCAGUGGUUCUUGCUUAUAUACUGUUGACUCACUGAUGAACAGAUCUGUAAAUGACUUCAAAAUUAUGCAGCACCUGGACUAGGGAAAUCUGGUCUCUAAGGAUGCACAACUCCUGGUGGCUUCUGAACUCAGUGCAACUUGUGUUUUCUCCUACAGAUGAGGAUUUUACAGAAAAGCAGUCUUUCUCCAAUUCCCUGAUGAUUAUCUGUGUUGAAUGAGUGUUGAACUUAGUGCAGCCUUUUUUUUUCUCACCUGGGACUCUAA